ACUCCCUCCGGUCCUAUUUAUAAGCAGCAAAAAAAAAAAUCACAUAGUUUAAGAAAUGUAGUUAAACUAGAUAAAAUGCAUUAAAUAUGUCUUGAAUCAAAAUAAACUUCCAAAAUUACCCUUUGUUAUUAGUGUUGGAAAGUGGGAAAGAGAGAGAAUAAUUAAUGAGACACAUUUUACAAGCUAGAAUUAAUAAGGGCAUCAUUGGAAAAAAAUAAUUAAUAUAGCUCAAACUUUCAUUUGGUUCUUAUAAAAA
rnacentral:lncRNA from 1 species